GUUGUGGCGCAAAGGCAGAGCAUUUGCCUGGCAUGUAUUAGGCCCUGGGUUCAAUCCUCAGCACCACA
rnacentral:tRNA from 1 species